rnacentral:rRNA from 1 species
GAUGAACGCUGGCGGCGUGCCUAAUACAUGCAAGUCGAGCGAACAGAUGAGGAGCUUGCUCCUCUGACGUUAGCGGCGGACGGGUGAGUAACACGUGGAUAACCUACCUAUAAGACUGGGAUAACUUCGGGAAACCGGAGCUAAUACCGGAUAAUAUAUUGAACCGCAUGGUUCAAUAGUGAAAGACGGUUUUGCUGUCACUUAUAGAUGGAUCCGCGCCGCAUUAGCUAGUUGGUAAGGUAACGGCUUACAAAGGCAACGAGGCGUAGCCGACCUGAGAGGGUGUUCGGCCACACUGAACCUGAGAAACGUUCCAGACUCCAACGGGAGGCAGCAGUGGGAAAUCUUCCGCAAUGGGCGAAAGCCUGACGGAGCAACGCCGCGUGGGUGAUGAAGUUCUUCGGAUCGUAAACCUCUGUUAUUAGGGAAGAACAAAUGUGUAAGUAAUUAUGCACGUCUUGACGGUACCUAAUCAGAAAGCCCCGGCUACUACGUG